AUGGAACAACCAGAUGGGUUUGUAAUAGAUGGUCAGGAAGGAAAAGUGUGCAAGUUGCUGAAGUCUUUGUAUGGACUCAAGAAAGCACCCAAACAGUGGCAUGAGAAGUUCGAAAGAACUUUAACAGCUGCAGGCUUUGUUGUGAACGAAGCUGACAAAUGUGUGUACUAUCGCCAUGGUGGGGCAAAUCUGAAUGUUAUUAAGGAGGUCAAGGAUUUUCUAUCUCGCUGUUUUGAGAUGAAGGAUUUAGGAGUGGCUGAUGUCAUUCUGAACAUCAAGUUGUUGAGAGAUGAUGAUGAUGGGAUUACAUUGCUUCAAUCUCACUAUGUGGAAAAGAUCUUGAGUCGCUUUGGCUAUAGUGACUGCAAGCCCUCUCCGACACCAUAUGAUGCUAGUGUGCUGCUUCGAAAGAAUCGAAGAAUUGCUAGGGAUCAAUUGAAGUAUUCUCAGAUUAUUGGCUCGCUUAUGUACUUAGCCAGUGCUACAAGACGUGACAUCUCUUUUGCUGUUAGCAAACUGAGUCGGUUUGUCUCAAAACCAGGAGAUGUGCAUUGGAAAGCUCUAGAGAGAGUUUUGCAUUAUUUGAAAGGAACUGCAAAUUAUGGAAUUCACUACACCGGGCACCCAAAGGUGCUUGAAGGGUAUAGUGACUCAAACUGGAUCUGA
rnacentral:rRNA from 1 species